rnacentral:pre_miRNA from 15 species
GAUACUAAUACUACUACUACUACUGUUUUUAGUGGGUGAGGGUCCAGUGUUUCACAUUGAUUUCUGUAUUUGUGACUAGAUCCACACUCAUUAAUAACGGUAGUUCAAUCAGCAAGGCCCACGU